GUGCUCGUUUCAGCAGCACAUAUACUAAGAUUGGAAUGAUACAGAGAAGAUUGGCAUGGGCCCUGCACAAGGAUGACACACAAAUUUGAGAAGCAUUUAAUUACUUA
ensembl:snRNA U6 U6 spliceosomal RNA